CGUCUGGAGAGACCUGCCGGUGACAAACCGGAGGAAGGUGGGGAUGACGUCAAAUCAUCAUGCCCCUUAUGACCUGGGCUACACACGUACUACAAUGGCGUAUACAACGGGAAGCGAAAUGGUGACAUGGAGCAAAUCUCACAAAGUACGUCUCAGUUCGGAUUGAAGUCUGCAACUCGACUUCAUGAAGUCGGAAUCGCUAGUAAUCGCGGAUCAGCAUGCCGCGGUGAAUACGUUCUCGGGCCUU
rnacentral:rRNA from 1 species